UACACUUCAGUACUUGAAGCUCGCCUCGCUGAAAAGCUACCUGAUUCAAGAAUUUCUGCAACUCCUCAUAUCGAUUCAAGGUUAAGAUACUUCAAGACAAAGUAUUCUGCUUUGGAGCAGAUGUUGAACAAGAGUGGGUUCACAUGGGAUCCGACCAAGAAGAUGAUUCAGUGCGAGAAACAACAAUAUGAGACACAUUGCAAGAAUAAUCCAGAUGCAAAAGGGUUGUAUGGAGUCUCCUUUCCUUACUAUGAUGAACUCUCAAUGGUAUAUUCCAAGGACAUGGCCACAGGUGAAGGUGCGGAAGACAUGACAGAUGCUGUUAAAAACUUGGAAGAAGAGUUAGUUUGUGUAAAUGCUAAUGAUGAAGAGGUUGGAGAGGACAUGACAUUUGUAGAGACACCGAGGCAUUUUGUUGACUCAACAUCAUCUAGCUCCAAGAAACGGAAGAAAGAGUGGAAAGGAAUGAAGACCGCAUCAAGUGACCCGCUUCUUGACGUGUUCAAUGAAGUGAGUGGUGAUCUGAAGGUUGCCACCAUGUCAAUUGGAAAAAUGGCGCAAGCUAUGGAUCGUGAGGCAUCCAACAAAGAGAAGGCAAGGGAUGAGGAUCCACAACAAAAGCUAAGAGAGAAGGCGAUCAAUGAGGUCUGAAGACUUGAAUUUACUAGCUCAGAAGUUAUCAAAGCAGCUGAUGUGUUUGUCAGGAUGCCAGAUCAAAUGGGGAUGUUGUUUGCACUUCCAGAACCACUGAGGAGGGAAUACAUUGUCGACAUGCUACGUGAUGAAGCAGCAAGGAGAGAGAGAGAGAGAGAGGUCAAAGUGAAGGUGAAGGUGCUAGUCUUGCUGUGGAAUGAUGGAGCUUUGGAAGUUGCUGUUGGUUGAGUUGGUCUCAAACUUUUUAGCUUUAGUGUUCUUCAUAUGUUGCUGUUGAGUGAUGGUAAAAACUAAAACUUUAUGAUGUUGAAUGUUCAUGAAUGGUAUUGAAUGUGGCAUUGUAUCUGUCGGCAGCUUUCAAUGUGGUUUGCUGAAUGUUAGCUCU